rnacentral:ribozyme from 13 species
AUAACUCACUAAAAAUAUAAACAACCACUCCCUAUAUAUACGAAAAAAAAAAGGGCAAAAGAAAUAUGAGGGAAAAAACAGUAAUAGAGAAAACUGGAUUUUUAUUUUGUAUACCUUUUUCCUGUUUUUGCUUGUACCUCUACCCGACAUUUUGGGGCCUCUUUGUAUUUUGUUGCUACAGAGGGUGAGGAUAGAUAGGUUGGCUUUA